CGAACGCUGGCGGCGCGUCUUAAGCAUGCAAGUCGAACGGCAAGAGGUAGCAAUACCUCCUAGAGUGGCGGACUGGUGAGUAACACGUGGGUGACAUACCCUUACAGAUGGGGAUAGCUAUUAGAAAUAGUAGAUAAUACCGAAUACGAGCACAGGGGUUAGAGAUCUGUGAGGAAAGGAGCUAAGGCUCCGCUGAAGGAAUGCCUGCGGCCCAUUAGCUAGUUGGUGAGGUAAGAGCCCACCAAGGCGAUGAUGGGUAUCCCGGCCUUAGAGGGUGAACGGACACAUUGGGACUGAGAUACGGCCCAGACUCCUACGGGAGGCAGCAGCUAAGAAUAUUCCGCAAUGGACGAAAGUCUGACGGAGCGACGCCGCGUGGAUGAAGAAGGCCGGAAGGUUGUAAAAUCCUUUUGAAACUGAAGAAUAAGCGUUGUAGGGAAUGACAGCGUGGUGACAGUAGGUUUUGAAUAAGCAACGGCUAAUUACGUGCCAGCAGCGGC
rnacentral:rRNA from 1 species